rnacentral:rRNA from 1 species
GCUACCAUGCAAGUCGAGCGGUAGAGAGGUGCUUGCACCUCUUGAGAGCGGCGGACGGCUGAGUAAAGCCUAGGAAUCUGCCUGGUAGUGGGGGAUAACGCUCGGAAACGGACGCUAAUACCGCAUACGUCCUACGGGAGAAAGCAGGGGACCUUCGGGCCUUGCGCUAUCAGAUGAGCCUAGGUCGGAUUAGCUAGUUGGUGAGGUAAUGGCUCACCAAGGCGACGAUCCGUAACUGGUCUGAGAGGAUGAUCAGUCACACUGGAACUGAGACACGGUCCAGACUCCUACGGGAGGCAGCAGUGGGGAAUAUUGGACAAUGGGCGAAAGCCUGAUCCAGCCAUGCCGCGUGUGUGAAGAAGGUCUUCGGAUUGUAAAGCACUUUAAGUUGGGAGGAAGGGCAUUAACCUAAUACGUUAGUGUUUUGACGUUACCGACAGAAUAAGCACCGGCUAACUCUGUGCCAGCAGCCGCGGUAAUACAGAGGGUGCAAGCGUUAAUCGGAAUUACUGGGCGUAAAGCGCGCGUAGGUGGUUCGUUAAGUUGGAUGUGAAAUCCCCGGGCUCAACCUGGGAACUGCAUUCAAAACUGUCGAGCUAGAGUAUGGUAGAGGGUGGUGGAAUUUCCUGUGUAGCGGUGAAAUGCGUAG